rnacentral:rRNA from 1 species
UGGAGAACCUGCCCAUAAGAGGGGGAUAACAUCCGGAAACGGGUGCUAAUACCGCAAGGUAUCCGACACGCAUGUGUCGGCUAUGAAAGACGGCUUCGGCUGUCGCUUAUGGAUGGCUCCGCGGCGUAUUAGCUAGUUGGUGAGGUAAUGGCUCACCAAGGCAGUGAUACGUAGCCGACCUGAGAGGGUGAUCGGCCACACUGGGACUGAGACACGGCCCAGACUCCUACGGGAGGCAGCAGUAGGGAAUCUUCCACAAUGGGCGCAAGCCUGAUGGAGCAAUGCCGCGUGAAUGAAGAAGGUCUUCGGAUCGUAAAGUUCUGUUAUCGGAGAAGAACACGUCGAGUAGUAACUGGCUCGACCUUGACGGUAUCCGACCAGAAAGUCACGGCUAACUACGUGCCAGCAGCCGCGGUAAUACGUAGGUGACAAGCGUUGUCCGGAUUUAUUGGGCGUAAAGCGAGCGCAGGCGGUCUUUUAAGUCUGAUGUGAAAGCCCACGGCUCAACCGUGGAUGGUCAUUGGAAACUGGAGGACUUGAAUGCAGAA